CGGGAUAGCUCAGCUGGUAGAGCAGAAGACUGAAAAUCCUCGUGUCACC
rnacentral:tRNA from 1 species